AUUAGCUAUAUAUGUGUAUGAAUUCAUGGACAACAUUGAGAAAACAGUUAAUGUAAUUGUUUGAUAAUGUAGCAAUCUGUUCAAUCACUACAAAAAAUUACUUACAAGUUACACCCUAGAGGUUUUAUAAUAGAGGUCAACUCAACCCCACAAAUUACAUCAAAUUACGGAGGUUUGAUUAACCCCUAUAAUAUUAGUAGAAUUUGUGGGGUUAUUACCCUCCGUAAUCCUAAAAAAUAAAAUUCUACGAUAUCGUUGCUCAUUUAAUCCCCAAAUAAAAGAAAGUUCGAUUCUAUUUUCUCUAUCAGUUUUCAUAUGAUAAUUAGGGUUGGAGUAGGAAGAGAUGGAGGCGGCACGGUAGCGAAUCCAUGGUGGCGGAGCUAUCACUGUCUUCAUCCACAAUAGCAGUGGUCGGAGUAGGAAAAGACGGAGGCGGCGGUGGCGAUUGGCGGUAUCAUUGAAAAUCUGCAAUAGAAAUUCAUCUUCGCUGAUUUCGGAGUAAAAGAAUGCUCCAAUAGGCUCGCUGCCCUACGUCCUGCACCAUGGAGAAGCUUCAGCUCUUUCUAAGCCAGGAGAUGCUUAGUGACAGUAAUCCUAGCGAAACCCGCUGAAGUUUCAUGAACUGUUGCAGAUCCUAUCUUGAGUUUGGAUGCUAGCGAUUUGAAGUUUAAGCAAGUUUUUUUAGUGAUUUGAAGUUCAAGCAUAUGAUUUGAAGUUUCUUGUAAUUGUAAUGGUUGAAGUGAAUGACAUUUCGAUUUAGUUUGUAAAACUAUAGUACACUUUAUGAUAUAUUUUUGUAUUGAAAUAUUGUGUUAUUUCUUAUA